CUCAAAGGCAGGAACCUGGAGGCAGCAACGAAUGCAGAGGCCGUGGAGGGAUGUUACUUACUGGCUUGCUACUCAUAGCUUGCUCAGCCUGCUUUCUCACAGAACUCAAGACCACCAGCCCAGGGGUGGCACCACCCAUAAUGGACUGGGCCCUCCCACACCCAUCACUAAUUAAGAAAAUGCUCACAGGCUUGUUUACAGGCUAAUCUUAUGGAGACAUUUCCUUAAUUAAGGCUUCUUUUGCAGGAUAACUCGUGUCAAGUUGACAAAACCAAAAACGAAACCAAAGCAAAAAAGCAAAAACCCAAAGCCAAAAUAUCUUACCCAGACAAUUAGAUUAAGAAUCACUUAGGAGAAAGACCUCUACCACGGACAUGUUUCUAAAACGGUGUAACCAAAGAGGGAGGACCCACCCGGAAGAGCCUAUGGACUGGAGUCCAGAACUGAAUAAGAAAGAAAAGGGAUGGAAAAUCACCCUUCACCUCUUCUUCCUGGCGAUGGAUAAAAUGGGACCAGCCUGGCAGUCACACCCGGGGCUGCUUUUGAUGCCGCACUUCCCUAGUCACGAUGGCCUGUACCUCAAACUGUGAGCCGCAAUGGACUCUUGCUUCUUUAAGUUGCUUUGUUUCCAGGUAUUUUGCUACAGCAAUGGGAAAAGUAACUAAGAUAAUGUCUUUGUGAGAGAAGCUUGGAGCUCUGUCUAGUGUUUUGGCCUUCCAUCACCGAAGGCAAAAACUUUGUUACCUUUAGAGGGUGGGAUGGAGCAACAGGCAACAGAAAACAGCCUUUACUAGAUACGGUGCAAGCUGGUGCCUUUGCCUUGGCCCUUCCAGCCUCCAAACUGUGAGGAAUGGAUUCCUGUUCUUUAUAGACAACAGGGACUAUCAUAUUCUGUUACGGCAAUAGAAUGGUCUAAGACAAACCCAAGUGAUGUCAUCACACGGGUGGUAAGAUGAGUGAUCUCAUAAAAAGGACACUGUGAUGGCUAGCAUUGUCAUCUUGACACAACCUAAAAUUACCUGGGGAAAGAAUCUUCACAGGGGAUCAUUUAUAUAUUCCCCAACAGACUAUAGGCAUGUCUGUUGGGGAUAGUCUUGAUUAAUCGAUACGGGAAGAUCCAGUCCACUGUGGGUAGCACCAUUACCUAGGCAGGAGGAAUCCUGAGUGCAUGAAUGGAGAAAUGAAACUGAGUACAAGCAGAUAACUGAGAAUAUCUGUCUGCACAGGAGCAGAAUGACUGCCCCCCACCACUGAGCCAGAAAACUGCUUAAUGGGGUGACCGGUAAUCCCUCCAGUGAGCAGAAAUCGCAGGGGGCAACCAUCACAGCGGUGAAUUCGUGAGUUUGUGUGUGGUCAUGUGAUGUCCAGAAGAUACCCCAACCUCUGACUCUUACAAAAUCUCCACCCCGUCUUUAUAGAAGCUUUGUGAGUCUUUGCUUCUUUGCAGAAAGCGUCUCCCCCUGGCCUGGAACUUGCCUGAAGGGUUAGGCUGGCCGGCCGGCCAGCCAUGACUUUAUAGAAGGAAGACUGAAAAGAAAGAGACCCCUAUCUGCAAUAACCAGAGACUCCACAAGGUAGAAGGGAAGUCUGCUGGGCUGCCAAAGAUGUACAAGGACCGACCGUAAAUCCUGAACUGUCCCGAAAUGCAAAGGCUUCAGUCAACCUUUGUGAAAGAAUUCCACGCAGUUAAACAAAAAGUGACUUUCUAUUGCCUUUCUGGGUCUCCCUUUGUUUAACAAAGAUCAGGGUGUGAACUCAGGGGUCAAAGUCCUCCCACGGGCAAGUUGGAUUUAAAAGCUACUAUGAAUUUCUUACCUUUAAUUUUUUUUUUUUACUGUUAAACCUAGAGCUAAGCACGGCUUUAUAAAGCUACGGUGGAAAAUCGGAUUGAGUUAAGAAUGCAUUGUCUCCUCUAUUGAAUGCCAGGGAGAGAUGAAAAACACGUGCAAGGAACUUGGAAAGAAAGAGCAGGCCUACAACUCCCAGCGUGAGAUGUGGGAAGCCAGAGACUGAAGCUCCAUCCUGUCCUCCUCAGUUGCUCUCAAAACCUUGUUUUGUGAGAGUCUUUCAUUGAGCCAGGAGUUCUGCAGUUUUCUGGAUUGGCAGGCUACAAAUGUUGGUAUUCGGUCUAAGCUCCACCCCCACAGCAACCUGGGAACAGCCAGGUAUGCUCCGCCCCACAGUUGCCUGGCAACAACCAGCUGUGCCUGACACUAUAUAAGGGGCUGCUUGCCCCCUCCUCUUUCUCUUUGCUCUCUUCUCUUCCCCUCUUCCCUGUCCCUUCUCUCUUCCCACCUCUCCACCCCUUCCCGCAACGUGCCCAUGGACGGCCUUUCCUCUCAUCUCCUCUCCUCUCAU